rnacentral:rRNA from 1 species
UACGUAGGGUGCAAGCGUUUAUCCGGAAUUAUUGGGCGUAAAGAGCUCGUAGGCGGUUUGUCGCGUCUGCUGUGAAAACUGGGGGCUCAACCCCCAGCCUGCAGUGGGUACGGGCAGACUAGAGUGCGGUAGGGGAGAUUGGAAUUCCUGGUGUAGCGGUGGAAUGCGCAGAUAUCAGGAGGAACACCGAUGGCGAAGGCAGAUCUCUGGGCCGUAACUGACGCUGAGGAGCGAAAGCAUGGGGAGCGAACAGG